rnacentral:tRNA from 1 species
GAGGGUAGAGCUCAGUGGUAGAACGCAUGCUUACCAUGCAGAAGAUCCUGGGUUCAAUCCCCAGUACCUUCA